GCUGCUUUCUAACAGAAGUUUCUCUUGAAACUUUUACAUAUACAAUGCUAUUAAUAUUAAAUAACUGUUCAUAUUGGAACAAAUAUCAUUUACCCUUUAUUUCGGAAUUAACAAAUACUGAUAAAUAUUUGAUUUUGAGCGUUUCCUGACGAAGGUAAAUCAAGAAAAGCACUUCGGAAGCGUGAAAUUUGUUAACGUGUUGUUUUCAUUUUUUAUUUUUCUUCCAGUUUAAACUUAUAAUUUUUAUAAUCGUUUGCCAUGAGAAGAUAACUCUGUCUGUAUUAUAUAUGUAAGACAUGUUCAUAGUUAUCUCGCUUUGAACUAGCUUUAAAUUAAUCGUAAUUGCAUUAAACUGUUAGUAUCGUCUGUCUACCCCCACCUCCCAACAGCAACA
rnacentral:lncRNA from 1 species